rnacentral:rRNA from 1 species
GUCCACGCCCUAAACGAUGUCAACUAGUUGUUGGGUGACUUGUUCACUUAGUAACGUAGCUAACGCGAGAAGUUGACCGCCUGGGGAGUACGGUCGCAAGAUUAAAACUCAAAGGAAUUGACGGGGCCGCACAAGCGGUGGAUUAUGUGGAUUAAUUCGAUGCAACGCGAAAACCUUAACCUACCCUUGACAUGCCAGGAAGCCGACAGAGAUGUUGGCGUGCCCGAAAGGGAAUCUGGACACAGGUGCUGCAUGGCUGUCGU